rnacentral:rRNA from 1 species
GACGUAGGGCGCGAGCGUUGUCCGGAUUUAUUGGGCGUAAAGAGCUCGUAGGCGGCUUGUCGCGUCGACUGUGAAAACUCGGGGCUCAACUCCGAGCUUGCAGUCGAUACGGGCAGGCUAGAGUUCGGUAGGGGAGACUGGAAUUCCUGGUGUAGCGGUGAAAUGCGCAGAUAUCAGGAGGGACACCGGUGGCGAAGGCGGGUCUCUGGGCCGAUACUGACGCUGAGGAGCGAAAGCGUGGGGAGCGAACAGG